rnacentral:misc_RNA from 1 species
CGGGUGGAACCAGUCAGUCUCGAAGAGCUUGGAAGGCCUAGGAUUGAUGUUGUUGUCAAUUGCUCAGGAGUUUUCAGAGAUCUUUUUAUCAACCAGAUGAACCUCUUGGACCGUGCAGUGAAGAUGGUGGCUGAACUUGAUGAGCCAGCUGACCAAAACUAUGUCAGGAAGCAUGCCUUAGAACAAGCUGAAGCCCUUGGCAUUGAUGUUCGAGAAGCUGCAACUCGAGUAUUCUCUAAUGCCUCUGGAUCCUACUCCUCAAACAUAAACCUUGCAGUGGAGAAUUCUUCCUGGAAUGAUGAAAAUCAACUUCAAGACAUGUAUUUGAGCCGGAAGUCCUUUGCCUUUGAUUGUGAUGCUCCAGGUGCAGGCAUGAUGGAGAAAAGACAAGUGUUUGAGAUGGUUCUGAGCACAGCAGAUGCCACAUUCCAAAACCUUGAUUCCUCAGAAAUUUCCCUCACUGAUGUAAGCCACUACUUUGAUUCAGACCCAACAAACCUAGUGCAGAACUUGAGGAAGGAUAAAAAGAAGCCUAGUGCAUAUAUAGCAGACACAACAACUGCUAAUGCUCAGGUUCGCACACUAUCUGAGACUGUACGACUUGAUGCACGAACCAAAUUGCUGAACCCCAAGUGGUAUGAAGGAAUGAUGUCUAGUGGAUAUGAGGGUGUUCGUGAAAUUGAGAAGCGGCUAACAAAUACAGUUGGAUGGAGUGCAACCUCAGGCCAAGUCGACAACUGGGUGUAUGAAGAGGCAAACUCAACUUUCAUCCAAGAUGAGGAGAUGCUGAAUAGACUGAUAAGCACUAAUCCGAAUUCAUUUAGGAAGUUACUGCAGACAUUCUUAGAGGCCAAUGGCCGCGGGUAUUGGGAAACUUCACAGGAAAAUAUUGAGAAGUUGAGGCAGCUCUACUCAGAAGUUGAAGACAAGAUUGAAGGCAUUGAUAGGUAAACAGGAAGCCUAAGUGCAAAUAUUGAUAGACAUUGUUGAUUUAGGUGAUGAACCUGAGCUCUUCCUCUCUUGAGAUGUAAAAUUUGUUUAUAAAAAUGGGGUUGUAAUCCAAUUCCCCUUUUCAAAAUCUUUUUACUCGGUUCCUGCCAAAUUCGAAGAAGAAGGUGGCAUAAUUUGAUGACAAAUGACAAUGAUCCCAC